UUAAGGGUGCAGGGCGGAUGCCUUGGCACUAGGAGCCGAUGAAGGACGUGAUAAGCUGCGAUAAGCUUCGGGGAGUUGCACGUAAACUUUGAUCCGAAGAUUUCCGAAUGAGGAAACUCACUUAGAGUAAUGUCUAAGUAUCAUUAAGUGAAUACAUAGCUUAAUGAGGGGAACUCAGGGAACUGAAACAUCUAAGUACCUGAAGGAAGAGAAAGAAAUUCGAUUCCGUAAGUAGCGGCGAGCGAACGCGGAUUAGCCCAAACCAAUAAAGUUUUCUUUAUUGGGGUUGCGGACAUAUCAUAACGAAGAGGUAUCGUAAUUGAAGAGGUUUGGAAAGACCCACCACAGAAGGUAAUAGUCCUGUAUGUUAAACGAGAAGACUUUAGAUAUGAUCCAGAGUACCACGGGACACGUGAAACCCUGUGGGAAGCAGGAGGGACCACCCUCCAAGGCUAAAUACUACCUAGUGACCGAUAGCGUAUAGUACCGUGAGGGAAAGGUGAAAAGAACCCCGGGAGGGGAGUGAAAUAGAACCUGAAACCCUGCACUUACAAGCUGUGGAAGCACAUUUCUUGUGUGACCGCGUACUUUUUGUAGAACGGGCCAACGAGUUACGUUAAGUAGCAAGGUUAAGCACUUAAGGUGUGGAGCCGUAGCGAAAGCGAGUUUUAACUGAGCGUUCAGUUACUUGACGUAGACCCGAAACCGGGCGACCUACCCAUGAGCAGGAUGAAGCGAAAGUAAAAUUUCGUGGAGGUCCGAACCCACGAGCGUUGAAAAGCUCGGGGAUGACUUGUGGGUAGCGGUGAAAUUCCAAUCGAGCCCGGAGAUAGCUGGUUCUCCCCGAAAUAGCUUUAGGGCUAGCCUCAAGGUGAGAGAUACGGAGGUAGAGCACUGAAUGUCCUAGGGGGUAUUGCACCUACCGAAGACUAUCAAACUCCGAAUGCCGUCAUCUUAUACUUGGGAGUCAGACUGUGGGUGAUAAGAUUCAUAGUCGAAAGGGCAACAGCCCAGAUCGUCAGCUAAGGUCCCUAAAUGUAAGUUAAGUGGUAAAGGAUGUGGGAUUGCACAGACAACCAGGAUGUUGGCUUAGAAGCAGCCACUCAUUCAAAGAGUGCGUAAUAGCUCACUGGUCGAGUGAUCCUGCGCCGAAGAUUUCCGGGGCUAAAACUUACUACCGAAGCUACGGCAUCAGUAAUGAUGGGUAGGGGAGCUUCCCAUACGGGUUGAAGCAUGACCGUAAGGACAUGUGGACAGUAUGGGAGUGAGAAUGUUGGCAUGAGUAGCGAGAUGUGGGUGAGAAUCCCACAGGCCGUAAACCCAAGGUUUCCAGGGGAAGGUUCGUCCGCCCUGGGUUAGUCGGGACCUAAGCUGAGGCCGAAAGGCGUAGGUGAUGGACAACAGGUUGAUAUUCCUGUACUACCGAUAACCGUUUGAGAGAAGGGAUGACACAGUAGGAUAAGCUAAGCACACUGUUGGUUAUGUGUGCCCAAGCAUUGAGGCAGUCAAAGUAGGCAAAUCCGCUUUGAUAAUGCUGGGAUGUGAUGGGGAGCGAAAUUUAGUAGCGAAGUAGCUGAUUUCACACUGUCAAGAAAAGUCUCUAUCGAGGUUAAAGGUACCCGUACCGCAAACCGACACAGGUGGGUGAGGAGAGUAUCCUAAGGCCAGCGAGAGAACUGUUGUUAAGGAACUCGGCAAAAUGACCCCGUAACUUAGGGAUAAGGGGUGCCACCAUCAGGUGGCCGCAGAGAAUAGGCCCAAGCGACUGUUUACCAAAAACAUAGGUUUCUGCUAAGUCGCAAGACGAUGUAUAGGAGCUGACGCCUGCCCGGUGCUGGAAGGUUAAGGGGAUCUGUUAGAGCAAUCGAAGCAGUGAACUUAAGCCCCAGUAAACGGCGGCCGUAACUAUAACGGUCCUAAGGUAGCGAAAUUCCUUGUCGGGUAAGUUCCGACCCGCACGAAAGGCGUAACGAUUUGGGCACUGUCUCAACAACAGACUCGGUGAAAUUGUAAUUCCGGUGAAGAUGCCGGAUACCUGCGACAGGACGGAAAGACCCCAUGGAGCUUUACUGUAGCUUGACAUUGGGUCUUGGUACUACAUGUACAGGAUAGGUGGGAGGCUUUGAAACCAGGACGCCAGUUUUGGCGGAGCCAUCCUUGGGAUACCACCCUUGUAGUACUGGGACUCUAACCAUAGGCCAUGAAUCUGGUCUUGGGACACUGUCAGGUGGGCAGUUUGACUGGGGCGGUCGCCUCCCAAAAGGUAACGGAGGCGCUCAAAGGUUCUCUCAGUACGGUCGGAAAUCGUACGUAGAGUGUAAAGGCAAAAGAGAGCUUGAUUGCAAGACAUACAGGUCGAGCAAGGAUGAAAAUCGGACUUAGUGAUCCGGUGGUUCUGCGUGGAAGGGCCAUCGCUCAACGGAUAAAAGCUACCCUGGGGAUAACAGGCUUAUCUCCCCCAAGAGUCCACAUCGACGGGGAGGUUUGGCACCUCGAUGUCGGCUCAUCACAUCCUGGGGCUGUAGUAGGUCCCAAGGGUUGGGCUGUUCGCCCAUUAAAGUGGUACGCGAGCUGGGUUCAGAACGUCGUGAGACAGUUCGGUCCCUAUCCGUCGCAGGCGUAGGAAAUUUGAGAAGACCUGUCCUUAGUACGAGAGGACCGGGAUGGACGUACCUCUGGUGUACCAGUUGUCCUGCCAAGGGCAUGGCUGGGUAGCUAUGUACGGAAUGGAUAAGCGCUGAAAGCAUCUAAGCGCGAAGCCAACUUCAAGAUAAGAUUUCCCACCGCAAGGGUAAGACCCCAGAAAGACUAUCUGGUUGAUAGGUCGAAGGUGUAAGUGCAGCAAUGUAUUUAGCUUAUCGAUACUAAUAGGUCGAGGACUUGACCAA
rnacentral:rRNA from 1 species